rnacentral:rRNA from 1 species
AAUAGAUACCCCGGUAGUCCACGCCGUAAACGAUGAGUGCUAAGUGUUAGAGGGUUUCCGCCCUUUAGUGCUGCAGCUAACGCAUUAAGCACUCCGCCUGGGGAGUACGGCCGCAAGGCUGAAACUCAAAGGAAUUGACGGGGGCCCGCACAAGCGGUGGAGCAUGUGGUUUAAUUCGAAGCAACGCGAAGAACCUUACCAGGUCUUGACAUCCUCUGACACUCCUAGAGAUAGGAUUUUCCCCUUCGGGGGACAGAGUGACAGGUGGUGCAUGGUUGUCGUCAGCUCGUGUCGUGAGAUGUUGGGUUAAGUCCCGCAACGAGCGCAACCCUUGAUCUUAGUUGCCAGCAUUCAGUUGGGCACUCUAAGGCGACUGCCGGUGACAAACCGGAGGAAGGUGGGGAUGACGUCAAAUCAUCAUGCCCCUUAUGACCUGGGCUACACACGUGCUACAAUGGAUGGUACAAAGGGCUGCAAGACCGCGAGGUUUAGCCAAUCCCAUAAAACCAUUCUCAGUUCGGAUUGC